rnacentral:rRNA from 1 species
UACGGAGGAGGCAAGCGUUAUCCGGAAUUAUUGGGCGUAAAGCGUCCGUAGGUGGCUAGUCAAGUCUGCGGUCAAAGACUGGGGCUUAACCCUGGAAAGGCCGUGGAAACUGACGAGCUAGAGUGCAGUAGGGGUAGAGGGAAUUCCCGGUGUAGCGGUGAAAUGCGUAGAGCUCGGGAAGAACAUCGGUGGCGAAAGCGGCUCUCUGGGACGGUACUGACGCUGAGACGCGAAAGCGUGGGGAGCGAACAGG